AAACCAUGAUGAGGACACUAUAAGAGAAGGUCUUUGAAACAUUCCAUACAUCGAGAAAAUGAUUCAUUGGGCUGCUGGCAAAAUUGAAUAAUGUCAUUCCUAAGUUU
rnacentral:snoRNA from 1 species